rnacentral:rRNA from 1 species
UACGUAGGGGGCAAGCGUUAUCCGGAUUUACUGGGUGUAAAGGGAGCGUAGACGGUGAGACAAGUCUGAAGUGAAAGCCCGGGGCUCAACCCCGGGACUGCAUUGGGAACUACCGGGCUGGAGUGCCGGAGAGGUAGGCGGAAUUCCUAGUGUAGCGGUGAAAUGCGUAGAUAUCACGCAGAACCCCGAUUGCGAAGGCAGCAUACCGGUGCACAACUGACGCUCAGGCACGAAAGCGUGGGUAUCGAACAGG